CGGCGAACGGUCGCGUAACACGUAAGCAACCUGCCCCGAAGACCGGGACAACAGCCCGAAAGGGCUGCUAAUACCGGAUGUGGCCCUCGGAAGACAUCUUCUGAGGAUUAAAUCGAGUAAUCGGCUUCGGGAGGGGCUUGCGGCCUAUCAGCUAGUUGGUGGGGUAACGGCCUACCAAGGCGACGACGGGUAGCUGGUCUGAGAGGACGGCCAGCCGGACUGGGACUGAGAUACGGCCCAG
rnacentral:rRNA from 1 species